GGACCAGCUCUGCCGACACGUUGAUUUUAGCCCCAAAAGACUGAUUUUAGACUUCUGACCUGCAGAACUUGUAAGAGGACACGUUUGUGUUUUUUAAGCCACUAAGUUUGUGGGAAUUUGUUACAGCAGCCACAGGAAACUCACACACACCCCUAGGCGAGUUCAAGAAUGUGAGAGUGGAGGGUGAGGCCGGAGACCUCAGACGGCAGCAAACUCAACAAAGGCCUGGACCCUGCUCCAGGUGUGGCAGGGAAGGCAGGGGACAUGCUGCAGGGAGCUAGGCCAGUGAGGCCCACAGUAGCCUCAGCGUGUCCCCACCCCGGCCCUGUAGAGAGGGGUGUAGAGAGCACCCUGUGUUCUUGCUUCCCCAUGUGGAUGUGGGUGUUAGCUCAGUGUGUGCGAGUGUAUGUCUGUGUGUCAUGUCUGUGUGUGUGCAUGUGAGUGUAUGUGUAAGUUUGCAUUUGUAUGUGUCUAUACGUGUGUAAGUUUGUCUCUGAGUGUGUCUAUUUCUGUGUGUGUCUCUAUGUGUCUCUGUGUCUGUGUGUGUGAGUGUGUGUGUGUGUGUAUGGGUAUAUGUGUGGGUGUGUGUAGGGUUCCUGAGGAAGUCUCUGAGGGGCCACUGCCAGAGGACGAGGAGGGGCCCUGACCGAGGUCUGGGAGGGAGGACACACGUCUCAGGGGCCAGUGAGGACGCCUGCUGGUGGAGAGCAGAGCCCUUCCCGACGAGAUGGCGGCCUGGCGAGAAAGAGGAACAGAGGAGACCCUGAACUGAGUGUGGUCCUGCACCUGUGACGAGGACUGCAGGCUAGGGACUGGCACUGCACAGAGUCCUAAAAGAACGCGAUGGUUUGUUCCCUGAUGGCUGCAGAUUAAGAAAUGCAGACCCACUAGGGUGUCCUAUGAAGAGCCAUGAAGCUUGACUACGCUGGCACAGAUCGUCAGUUACCUCCCUGCUCCUCACCUCCAAUCGUCUAUCUCCACACUUCAGACUGCCCUGUCCCUUUAUUCCUUAAAUAUCCCUAAUCCCCAUUUUCAGGGAGGUGGAUUUGACAUUUGUUCUUCUGUCUCCUCACUUGGCUGCCUUGUGAAUAAACCCUUUCUCUGCUGCAAA